AGAUUUGGACACAACAGAGGAAGAAAAGACAGAAACAUCUAGCUGUUUAAGCAUAAUGAAUAUUGAUGGUGAAUCUUCUGCAAAGACAGAUACACAACCCAGUACAGCUGAUACUGAUUUCCUGACAUUCAGUCAAGAUGAUGAUGACUCCAUUGCAAAGACAGAAACACAGCCCAGUACAGCCGAAACUGACUCCAUGACCUUCAGUCAAGAUGUA